AGCGAACGCUGGCGGCAGGCCUAACACAUGCAAGUCGAACGAACCUUUCGGGGUUAGUGGCGGACGGGUGCGUAACACGUGGGAACGUGCCUUUAGGUUCGGAAUAACUCAGGGAAACUUGUGCUAAUACCGAAUGUGCCCUUCGGGGGAAAGAUUAAUCGCCUUUAGAUCGGCCCGCGUCUGAUUAGCUAGUUGGUUGAGGUAAUGGCUCACCAAGGCGACGAUCAGUAGCUGGUCUGAGAGGAUGAUCAGCCACAUUGGGACUGAGACACGGCCCAAACUCCUACGGGAGGCAGCAGUGGGGAAUCUUGCGCAAUGGGCGAAAGCCUGACGCAGCCAUGCCGCGUGAAUGAUGAAGGUCUUAGGAUUGUAAAAUUCUUUCACCGGGGACGAUAAUGACGGUACCCGGAGAAGAAGCCCCGGCUAACUUCGUG
rnacentral:rRNA from 1 species